rnacentral:rRNA from 1 species
UACGGAGGAUGCAAGCGUUAUCCGGAAUGAUUGGGCGUAAAGCGUCCGCAGGUGGCAAUGUAAGUCUGCUGUCAAAGCGUCUGGCUCAACCAGAUAAAGGCAGUGGAAACUACAUAGCUAGAGUAAGGUAGGGGUAGAGGGAAUUCCUGGUGUAGCGGUGAAAUGCGUAGAUAUCAGGAGGAACACCGGUGGUGUAGACGGCUUUCUGGACCGUAACUGACGCUGAGACACGAAAGCGUGGGUAGCAAACAGG